GCCCUCUUGGCGGAAUUGGUAGACGCAGCAGACUCAAAAUCUGCCGAGGAGACUCAUGUCGGUUCGACUCCGACAGAGGGCACCA
rnacentral:tRNA from 1 species